GGGGUCAUAGUUCAGUGGUAGAACACUUGCCUAGAAUGCAUGAGGCACUGGGUUCGAUCCCUGGCACCA
rnacentral:tRNA from 1 species